CCUACGGGCUGCACCAGUGGGGAAUAUUGGACAAUGGGCGAAAGCCUGAUCCAGCCAUGCCGCGUGUGUGAAGAAGGCCUUUUGGUUGUAAAGCACUUUAAGCGAGGAGGAGGCUACUUAGAUUAAUACUCUAGGAUAGUGGACGUUACUCGCAGAAUAAGCACCGGCUAACUCUGUGCCAGCAGCCGCGGUAAUACAGAGGGUGCGAGCGUUAAUCGGAUUUACUGGGCGUAAAGCGUGCGUAGGCGGCUUCUUAAGUCGGAUGUGAAAUCCCUGAGCUUAACUUAGGAAUUGCAUUCGAUACUGGGAAGCUAGAGUAUGGGAGAGGAUGGUAGAAUUCCAGGUGUAGCGGUGAAAUGCGUAGAGAUCUGGAGGAAUACCGGUGGCGAAGGCGGCCCCCUGGACAAAGACUGACGCUCAGGUGCGAAAGCGUGGGGAGCAAACAGGAUUAGAUACCCGCGUAGUC
rnacentral:rRNA from 1 species